rnacentral:rRNA from 1 species
GGAAGGAGAGUAACAGGAUUCCCCUAGUAACUGCGAGUGAAGCGGGAAAAGCUCAAAUUUGAAAUCUGACGGUUACGCCGUCCGAGUUGUAUUCUGGAGAAGCGUCUUCCGCGCCGGACCGUGUACAAGUCCCUUGGAACAGGGCGUCAUAGAGGGUGAGAAUCCCGUCUUUGACACGGACCCCCGGUGCUAUGUGAUGCGCUCUCGAAGAGUCGAGUUGUUUGGGAAUGCAGCUCAAAACGGGUGGUAAAUUCCAUCUAAAGCUAAAUAUUGGCGAGAGACCGAUAGCGAACAAGUACCGUGAGGGAAAGAUGAAAAGCACUUUGGAAAGAGAGUAAAACAGUACGUGAAAUUGUUGAAAGGGAAACGCUUGAAGUCAGUCGCGUCUGCCGGAACUCAGCCUUGCUUCUGCUUGGUGCACUUUCCGGUUUGACGGGCCAGCAUCGGUUUCGAGCGGCGGACACUGGCGCGGGGAAGGUGGCAGCUCCGGCUGUGUUAUAGCCCCGCGUCGCGAACGUCUCCCGGGACCGAGGAAUCCGGCGCAAGCCUGGGAUGCUGGCGUAAUGGGUUUUAACCAACCCGCCUGGAACCCCGAACCAGGAAUGGUUCCUGGUUCCCAAUGGUUGGGUGGAAAAACCCGAAGCCAAAUGGAAGUGGAAGUCCAAUCCCCCUCCCCGGGGGGAACGAAGCCCCAACCUUGAGUUUACCGGAAGGCCUUGCGUAAAACCAAUGGCGUUGCGACCCGAAAGAUGGUGAACUAUUCCUGAGGAGGGCGAAGCCAGAGGAAACUCUGGUGGAGGCUCGUAGCGGUUCUGACGUGCAAAUCGAUCGCAGGACUUGGGUAUAGGGGCGAAAGACUAAUCGAACCAUCUAGUAGCUGGUUCCUGCCGAAGUUUCCCUCAGGAUAGCAGAAGCUCAUAUCAGAUUUAUGUGGUAAAGCGAAUGAUUAGAGGCCUUGGGGUUGAAACAACCUUAACCUAUUCUCAAACUUUAAAUAUGUAAGGACGAGCCGUCACUUGAUUGGACCGCUCGACGAUUGAGAGCUUCUAGUGGGCCAUUUUUGGUAAGCAGAACUGGCGAUGCGGGAUGAACCGAUCGCGAGGUUAAGGUGCCGGAAUGCACGCUCAUCAGACACCACAAAAGGUGUUAGUUCAUCUAGACAGCAGGACGGUGGCCAUGGAAGUCGGAAUCCGCUAAGGAGUGUGUAACAACUCACCUGCCGAAUGAACUAGCCCUGAAAAUGGAUGGCGCUCAAGCGUGCUACCCAUACCUCGCCGUCAGCGUUGAAGUGACGCGCUGACGAGUAGGCAGGCGUGGGGGUCUGUGAAGAAGCCUAGGCAGCGAGCUGUAUGG